rnacentral:lncRNA from 1 species
CCGUGCUGCCGCCGAAGAUUGGGGAUGGGGUUGAGGGGUCGAGCUGGGGCGGGACGAAGCCGGCGGGGGCUGGGGUGGCGACGGGAGCCGCCGGGGUUUCUGGGGCGGCGGCGUGGAGGGCGGUUGGGGCGCGGGAGGUGGGGGAAGGGAAGGCGAGGGAGCGGGGUUUGGGGGAGGAGGAAGGGGACCGGGUGGCGGCGAGGAGGUGGCGGGUGGCGGCGGAGGCUUGCGUGGCCAUGGCCAUGGCGGGAGCUAGCUUAGCGAGAGCAAGGAGCGCGCGUGUGGGGGAUGGAUAUGGAUCGGAGUUGAUGGAGGGAAGAAGAAGAAGGGGUGGCUGAGCUUUGGCUAAAGAGGGGAUUGGGGGUGGAGAAGCGGAUAAGGGGAUAUGAGGCCGGCCAAUGGGGAGCCCGGGUUUUGAUACGGCCGGAGCGGGAGGCUUGGCGUGGCGACCACAGAAAACACAAUACAAAUCGCAGCGUGUCAACGUGCACUGGGGUCGCCGGUCGCGGUUUUCCGUGGAUUUUCCUUCCACUCUGUAUGUAUCCGACGACGUUCUAGAUCUUUUCCGUAAAGAGUUGCUUUAGUCGAUUUAAGGUGAGAGCAUUGGAAGCACUACAUGUAACGUGAAACACUGGCGUAACGUAAGUUGUAUUGCU